GACGAACGCUGGCGGCGUGCUUAACACAUGCAAGUCGAACGCUGAAGCCCUUUCGGGGGUGGAUGAGUGGCGAACGGGUGAGUAACACGUGGGUAAUCUGCCCUGCACUCUGGGAUAAGCCUUGGAAACGGGGUCUAAUACCGGAUAGGACACAUCGCCGCAUGGUGUGUGUGUGGAAAGUUCCGGCGGUGCAGGUUGAGCCCGCGGCCUAUCAGCUUGUUGGUGGGGUGAUGGCCUACCAAGGCGACGACGGGUAGCCGGCCUGCGAGGGUAACCGGCCACACUGGGACUGAGACACGGCCCAGACUCCGACGGGAGGCAGCAGUGGGGAAUCUUGCGCAAUGGGCGAAAGCCUGACGCAGCAACGCCGCGUGGGGGAUGACGGCCUUCGGGUUGUAAACCUCUUUCGACCGGGACGAAGGGUGACUGACGGUACCGGUAGAAGAAGCACCGGCUAACUACGUGCCAGCCGCCGCGGUAA
rnacentral:rRNA from 1 species